GACGAACGCUGGCGGCGUGCUUAACACAUGCAAGUCGAACGGAAAGGUCCUGCUUAUGUGGGGUGCUCGAGUGGCGAACGGGUGAGUAACACGUGAGUACCCUGCCCUUGACUUUGGGAUAACUUCAGGACACUGGGGCUAAUACCGGAUAGGAGCUCCUGCUGCAGGGUGGGGGUUGGAUAGUUUCGGCGGUUGGGGAGGGACUCGCGGCUUAUCGGAUUGUUGGUGGGGUGGUGGCUUAGCAAGGCUUUGACAGGUAGCCGGGCUGGGAGGGGAGGAGGCGCCAUCGGGCCUGGGAUGAGCCACGGACUAGACUGGGAGGCGGAGGAGGGGAGUAGUGUCCGAGAGGCGGGAGCCUAAUGCGGCAACGCCGCGUGCGGGGUGAGAGGCUUCGGGUAGUGUAGCGCUUUUGCCUGAGACGAGAAGAUAAUGACGGUACUAGCUGAAGAAGCACCGGCUAACUCCGUG
rnacentral:rRNA from 1 species